CACGGAGGGGGCUAGCGUUGUUCGGAAUUACUGGGCGUAAAGCGCGUGUAGGCGGCUUUGCAAGUCGGGUGUGAAAGCCCUCGGCUCAACCGAGGAAGUGCGCCCGAAACUGCGAGGCUUGAGUGCCGGAGAGGGUGGCGGGAUUCCCCAAGUAGAGGUGAAAUUCGUAGAGAUGGGGAGGAACACCGGUGGCGAAGGCGGCCACCUGGACGGUGACUGACGCUGAGACGCGAAAGCGUGGGGAGCAAACAGG
rnacentral:misc_RNA from 1 species